UGGGGAAUUUUGCGCAAUGGGGGCAACCCUGACGCAGCAACGCCGCGUGCGGGACACGGCCUUCGGGUUGUAAACCGCUUUCAGCAGGGAAGAAAUUCGACGGUACCUGCAGAAGAAGCUCCGGCUAACUACGUGCCAGCAGCCGCGGUAAUACGUAGGGAGCGAGCGUUAUCCGGAUUCAUUGGGCGUAAAGAGCGCGUAGGCGGCCUCUCAAGCGGGAUCUCUAAUCCGAGGGCUCAACCCCCGGCCGGAUCCCGAACUGGGAGGCUCGAGUUCGGUAGAGGCAGGCGGAAUUCCCGGUGUAGCGGUGGAAUGCGCAGAUAUCGGGAAGAACACCGAUGGCGAAGGCAGCCUGCUGGGCCGCAACUGACGCUGAGGCGCGAAAGCUAGGGGAGCGAACAGG
rnacentral:rRNA from 1 species